rnacentral:rRNA from 1 species
AUUGAAAUAAACCUGAUGAGUUGUUGCUGGUUCUCUAAAGAGCAUUGUGCACGCUUGUCAUCU